rnacentral:rRNA from 1 species
UGCAUAUCAAUAAGCGGAGGAAAAGAAACCAACAGGGAUUGCCUCAGUAACGGCGAGUGAAGCGGCAACAGCUCAAAUUUGAAAUCUGGCCUCUUUGGGGUCCGAGUUGUAAUUUGUAGAGGAUGUUUCGGGUACCGCCCCGGUCUAAAUUUCUUGGAACAGAAUGUCAUAGAGGGUGAGAAUCCCGUCUUGGACCGGCGGUAGGGCCCAUGUGAAACUCCUUCGACGAGUCGAGUUGUUUGGGAAUGCAGCUCAAAUUGGGUGGUAAAUUUCAUCUAAAGCUAAAUACCUGCCAGAGACCGAUAGCGCACAAGUAGAGUGAUCGAAAGAUGAAAAGCACUUUGAAAAGAGAGUUAAACAGUAUGUGAAAUUGUUGAAAGGGAAGCGCUUACAACCAGACUUGAGCGCGGCGGUUCCCCCUUCCUUCUGGUUGGGUUAUUCCGUCGUGUCCAGACCAACAUCGGUUCUGGGGGCCGGUUAAAGGCUCUGGGAAUGUACCUACUCCUUCGGGUGUAGACUUAUAGCCCAGGGUGUCAUGCGGCCUCCCGGGACCGAGGAACGCGCUUCGGCUCGGAUGUUGGUGCAAUGGUUGUCAGCGACCCGUCUUGAAACACGGACCA